rnacentral:rRNA from 1 species
UGAGGAAUAUUGGACAAUGGGCGCAAGCCUGAUCCAGCCAUGCCGCGUGCAGGAAGAAGCAUCUAUGUGUUGUAAACUGCUUUUUUCCGGGAAGAAACCCCCCUUCGUGAAGGAGCUUGACGGUACCGUAAGAAUAAGGAUCGGCUAACUCCGUGCCAGCAGCCGCGGUAAUACGGAGGAUCCAAGCGUUAUCCGGAAUCAUUGGGUUUAAAGGGUCCGUAGGCGGUUUAGUAAGUCAGUGGUGAAAGCCCAUCGCUCAACGAUGGAACGGCCAUUGAUACUGCUAGACUUGAAUUAUUAGGAAGUAACUAGAAUAUGUAGUGUAGCGGUGAAAUGCUUAGAUAUUACAUGGAAUACCAAUUGCGAAGGCAGGUUACUACUAAUGGAUUGACGCUGAUGGACGAAAGCGUGGGGAGCGAACA